GACGAACGCUGGCGGCGUGCCUAAUACAUGCAAGUAGGACGCAGUUGCGAACGGGUGAGUAACGCGUAUGUAACUACCUAUUAGAGGGGGAUAACUAUUGGAAACGAUAGCUAAUACCGCAUACUAGUAGAUGGACCUGCGUUGUAUUAGCUAGUAGGUAGGGUAAUGGCCUACCUAGGCAACGAUACAUAGCCUACCUGGGAGGGUGUACGGGCACACUGGGACUGGGAAACGGGCCAGAACUCUACGGGAGGGAGGAGUAGGGAAUCUUUGGGAAUGGGGCGCACCCUGGACGAACAACGCCGGGGGAGGGAAGAAGGUUUUCGGAUAGUAAAGCUAUGUUGUUAAGGAAGCGGUACUUAACCAGAAAGGGACGGCUAACUACGUGCCAGCAGCCGCGGUAAUUC
rnacentral:rRNA from 1 species